CCACUCUGAUGCGCAGGAGGCGCUCAGGAUCAGGAUGAUCGACCUAAGCCAGGAAGGCAUUCGAAGGGAAUUCGGACCGGUCAGAAAAAACCCGCCUCGGCGGGUUUUUG
rfam:Pseudomonas stutzeri A1501, complete genome.